GCUCCGGUGGCUUGGUGGUUACAGCGUCCGCUUUGGAUGCGGGAUGUCGCAGAUUCGAACCCCGGCCGAGUCA